rnacentral:rRNA from 1 species
CCUACGGGGGGCUGCAGUUCGGAAUAUUCGGCAAUGGACGAAAGUCUGACCGAGCGACGCCGCGUGCGGGAUGAAGGCCCUCUGGGUUGUAAACCGCUUUAGGGAGUGAGCAAACUAUCCGGUGUGAACAUCAUCGGGUAUUGAGUUAAGCUCCUAAAUAAGCCCCCGCUAAUCACGUGCCAGCAGCGGCGGUAAUACGUGAGGGGCAAACGUUGUUCGGUGUCACUGGGCUUAAAGGGUGCGUAGGUGGUUGCGUAAGUAACGUGUGAAAUCCC